CCUACGGGUGGCAGCAGUGAGGAAUAUUGGUCAAUGGACGAGAGUCUGAACCAGCCAAGUAGCGUGAAGGAUGACUGCCCUAUGGGCUGUAAACUUCUUUUAUAUGGGAAUAAACUGUUCCACGUGUGGGAUUUUGUAUGUACCAUAUGAAUAAGGAUCGGCUAACUCCGUGCCAGCAGCCGCGGUACUACGGAGGAUCCGAGCGUUAUCCGGAUUUAUUGGGUUUAACGGGAGCGUAGGUGGAUUGUUAAGUCAGUUGUGAAAGUUUGCGGCUCAACCGUAAAAUUGCAGUUGAAACUGGCAGUCUUGAGUACAGUAGAGGUGGGCGGAAUUCGUGGUGUAGCGGUGGAAUGCUUAGAUAUCACGAAGAACUCCGAUGGCGAAGGCAGCUCACUGGACUGCAACUGACACUGAGGCUCGAAAGUGUGGGUAUCAAACAGGAUUAGAUACCCCUGUAGUC
rnacentral:rRNA from 1 species